CAUACCAUUUGCAAAAGUCGACAAUCCAAGGUAUUGCAUGUGGGGUGUGUCCAGUCUUUUUUAGUAGCCACUUAGUCACAAACACUGGCCAAAGUUAGCAUCCAUAUUUUUUUGUUGUUGCAUUUUUCACACAAAAACAAAGAUGAACGCUAAAUUUAGCCAGUGUUUGUGACUAAGUGGCUACAAAAACAGACUAGGCAUACCCCAUGUUGAAUACCCUGGGUUCUCUACUUUUGCAAAUGGUAUG